rnacentral:rRNA from 1 species
UACGUAGGGCGCAAGCGUUGUCCGGAAUUAUUGGGCGUAAAGAGCUCGUAGGCGGUCUGUCGCGUCGGCUGUGAAAGCCCGGGGCUCAACCCCGGGUCUGCAGUCGAUACGGGCAGGCUAGAGUGCGGUAGGGGAGACUGGAAUUCCUGGUGUAGCGGUGAAAUGUGUAGAUAUAUGGAAGAACACCAAUAACGGCGAAGGCAGUUAACUAUUCUGUUACUGACAUUGAGGCACGAAAGCGUGGGGAGCAAAACGG